rnacentral:lncRNA from 1 species
GAAUGAACAAGAUGGUUGUUCUUCCUCACAAUGACGAGUGACAGAUAAAUCCUAGAAUGUUCGAACUAUUCUCGGAUCUGAUGGAAAAGUGUGGAAUAAUAUGAAGAAGAAUCUUGAUAAAAAGGUAAUCUUUGUAUCUUUUACAAGAGAGAGAAUCUUUAUCAAAAGUCUAUUCUUAUCCACUGAAUAUCACAUUCCCUCUUUCCUUAUCUUUUUUCUCUUUAUAUGGAAUAUAUCCCUAAAAAACCAUAAUAUUACAUGUACCAAGAAUAUUCUUACUAUUCUAAAAACUAACUGUUACUACCCUUUCCACGGUGCUCGACCUCGAUCAUUGUUGACAUCCCGACCACGAGCUUCGCCGUUUCCUGAUCGACCUCGAUUGACUCUUCCCUCGAUACUACCUCGCCCUAAAUGCUCGGCAGUAGAUUUUGACCUAUACAAACACAUAUAACAAAAACCCAUAAAGUGUGGAAAUGCGCAAACAAAUAAUUAGAAAUAAUUAACGGAAAUGUAAACAUAAAUUGUUGAACAGAAAAUAUUCUAGACUCUAAACAUUUAAGGUGAAAUUUCAUCGACAACGAAAUUUCCAUGAGUUCCAGGCAAACUAACGGAAAAUCCAUGAGCCCCAACAACACACUUGAAUACAGUGGACGCAAAUUAAAGGAUAGAUAUGAUAAACCCAUUUAGAUAAGUAACGAUACAAAUCAAGCAAUGGAAUAAUGAUUCCUUGAAAUUUCUAUCUACUAACCUUAAUUCAAGAUUGUGAAAAAAGAAAAAGAACGGAGAAAUCAAGUAACUAAUGCAAACUAAACAAGUAAAAUGAUCUGACCAACUAAAUUAGCAUUCAAAUACAAGAUUUAAUACAAAGGAGAAAGAUAAAUUGAACUUAUUUAUUGAAUACUUUCUAGAAUAAAUCUCAGUUGAAGAGGUAAUUUGCAACGAAAGGCUUAGCUUCAUCAAUUGACCAUGUCAUCGCAUUUUAUCAUUUAUAUGCUUUAAAAAGUAUAGGAUUAAAUAUAGUAUUCGGGCCUGCUCAACAUAUCAAUACAUAACUUUACGACGAGACAAUUCAAACGCAUACUCGUUCUCACACGCACAAGUUUUAUGCUUAGAAACUGGAAUAAGCUAUGGAUUUUGUUACUAUUGUCACUAAAUCGCUCGUAACUAACAAAAUUUCUUGAUAUUCUAUCCCUAAUCUGUUACUAAAUAGAACUAAUGAUGAAUUUUUCUAUUUAGCUACAGAUUUGUUCAUCCCUAAUUUCAUUUCUUUUAAUAGUGCCCGUCAACCCGUUCUCUUUAUUUUAUUUUUUAAUUGCUCAUUUAACUUUAAUUUUCAUUUUGUAUGUUACUAUUGACAUGCAAGCUGGAUGUUCUUUAAUCUAAUGAUGUGUUCUCAAGAGAACCUGUAUUUUUUAAAAUUAGAUAAGUUUAAUGAUAUAAUAAUUUAGAGAAAUAUAUAUUUUUAGCCGCUCUCAAAAUAAUAACGGACAAAAUAUAUAUUUGUGUGUGUGAAUAUAUAUAUAUAUAUACACACACACACACACUUUAUACACUUUUGUUUGCCAGCAAAUGCAAUUAGUUUCGAUCGGUCGGUCAAUUUUGUAUUUUAAGCAUUCUCUCCCCUAAAAUAAAAUAAGUAUAUGGGAUUAAUGUACCCUUUUUGCCAAGUAAACUCUUAUGUGCCUUAAUCGAAGUUGUUGCCUCUUUAUUGCCUUGUUGUCUUUCCCAUAGUUGCUUAACCUUAAUUGAAGUUAUUAUUAUUUCUUCCGUAAUUGCUUAACCAUAAUUGAAGUUAUUAUUAUUUCUUCUGUAAUUGCUUAGCCUUAAUUGAAGUUUUGUUAUCCCUUUCAUUGUUGACAUAUUCUUAUUUGGGGUCAUUGAUUCAUGCUAUCUCUCUUAUCGUCGAAUUGCACUCUUGUGGAAUUAUUGUUACACAUUAUCUCACCAUCGUUGAGCUAUUCUUGUUGAGACCAUUAUUCCCUGUUGUGUCUUUCUUUGUGAGCUCGUUCUUUCGUUUCUUUGUGUUCUGAUGUUCUUGUGUUGAUUUACUUGCCGUAAUCUUGUGUUAUCGUUGUUGUUGUUGUUGUUGUUGUUGUUGUUGUUGUUGUUGUUGUUGUUGUUGUUGUUGUUGUUGUUGUUGUUGUUGUACUCAGUGUUGUUGAGCCGAGGGCUAUGCGUGGUUGUGGUAUGAGGAAAUGUUAUGGCAUAUGGGCACAUGUUCUGAAAGCCAUUUUAUUGUGUUUUUAUGUUUUGGAACACGUGGUAUUGUUGAGAGGAUUGCCAGGGUGUUCGCACGUGAGUUGUUCGUGCUAUUGUUAUUAUUGAUAUUUGCACAUGCGGCGUGACAAUGGGGGCUAUAUAUGUUAGUUUGUGCAUGUGGCGAGACAAGGUGAGAAUUUUAUUGUGCGCGUGCGGCGAGACAAGGAGGGUAUUUACCUUAUUAUUGCGCACGUGGCGAGACAAGGUGGACUAUAUCGGGGAAUGAUUUAUGAUGACUUGUGAUGGUUGGAGGCAUUGUUAUUGUUGAUAUUUGUGUAGUGGUAUGUCUACCUUGUGUGAGUUAUACCUUGUACAUUUUGGUGAUCGUUUCUGUCAUGACCCCAGUUUCCCUCCGUAGGAUGUCGUGACGGCAUCUAAUCUCUACGACUAGGUAAGCCUAACACUUACUGAAUAAAUUGACAGAAAUUAACCAACAGAACUAUUAAGCAGAAACCGGAUAUUUUCUAAAUGAACUCAAUAUUUACAACAUGAAAUAACAUCCCAAAACCGGUAGUACAAGUCAAAAGCUCUACUGAGUUUACUAGAAAAAUUCCUAAAUUCAACUGUUCGGAAUAGAAUUAAACAAUACAAGUACAAUAGGCUGCGGGGCGGGUAGGGUACAUUUAGAUAUAAGAGUGACUACACCUCCCUAAGCACUUUAAUACAUACAUUUCAUUGUUCAAAAUCUCACACUUAUGUCAAACCAUAACUCCACCCUUAAAUCAACAUAUAUCAACUCUCAACUUCUUUAAGCACAAUUACAUCAAGAGUUAUCACUAUAAAAGAAUAUUUUUCACAAUCAUACAAUUAUUAUUUUUCUUUCUUUUUCAAUUCAAGUGACUCUUACUUUUUUUAAGCAGUGCACCUUUCUCCUUAUUUCAUUAGUUCCACUCAAAAGCCAACCCAGUCACCCCACACUUCAACUUUUGUAAAGUUCAUAAUAAAUUCAAGUGCUCAUGAGAGGUAAAAGGUUCAAAUAGAUAGGCAAUUCGAACAAAUGGGUAAGGCUUGUAAUGUGGUUGCUAAAGAAACAAAAUUACAAGUUCAAAGGGGUUAACUAAGAUACAUAACAAUUAGGUGGGUAAGCAUAUAACUAGCUCAACAAAGAAAUGCCUAUAUCACUUCCAAGACUGAAUAAAACUACUAUUUCGCUUUGUAAACACGCAGGGCAAGUUCUAGACAUCAAAUGUAAUGUACAGAAUACACAAAACGUCACACACACAUGGCACAUAACUCACUCAAGAUUGGAUAAUCAAGACACUCUAGUCAAAGUAAUUAAGCAAAGUUAAGAUCAUACAAUUUAAGGUAUUUAUACAAGAGUCAAAAAUUGAGCCUAAACAUUACAAUUAAAGCACUUACUGUUCUCAAGGUAUAAUAAAGUAAAGAGAUAUUACCUUCAAUUCAAAUCAUAGCACAAGGUUUCCUACUCCUAAAAAAAUAAAAACUAAACCCAUUUCAAACAAAACCCUUAGAAAAGAACCGCGGCACAAAGAAAAAAUAUGGGGGGGAUUAAUACACUACCUACAAGAGAAGAUCUUUUUGUCUUUUUUUUUCAACUUUAAUCCCUCAAGAAACCUAUCGAAUGAUAUCCAUCGUCGGGAAAAACCUAAAUUUUUUAAAAUUUUUAUACUUUUUUCAAUUGUUUUCUAUCUCUAACUACUACAACCAACAAAACUCACACACACACACACACACACACACACACACACACACACAUAUAUAUAUAUAUAUAUAUAUAUANNNNNNNNNNNNNNNNNNNNNNNNNUUAAGUUGUGGCAUGUCCACAUGACACAUAAUUAAAAAGUAUAAGGUAAAGGAAACAUCUCUGAAUAUCUAGUCGGGGUCUGAGUCGAAGUCGGGAUCCAUUCCACGCACCCGAACCAAUGCAGAUAUCCAUGCAGACAGUUUCUUCUCAGCCUUCUUGGGGUACACCCCAUACUUAUCACUCUCACUCAGUGCAGCCUUUUCUUUUGAACUCUUCACUUUCCACUCAACACUUGCAGCUGGCUUCUCCUUUUUAGCCCUCGUUUCUACAUUCAUCUCAAAAGUCACAGUCUCCUCACCCACUCUAAGCAUGAGUUUUCUCUCGUGUAUAUCGAAGAUUGCUUUACCCGUUUCUAAGAUAAGGGGAACUUCCUUGUUUUCCUCCAUAUUCACCACUAUAAAGUCUACAGAAAAUACAAACUUAUCUACCCGAACUAAAACAUCUUCCACUAUCCCCUCGGAUUUCAGAGUCUUUUGGUUUGCCAGCUGCAAAGAUAUUGGCACUGACCUUAUCUCUCCAAUCUCCUUCUCAAGUUUCCUGUAAAUAGAUAAAGGCAUUAGAUUAAUUUAUCCGCCAGAAUCACAUAAAGAUUUGUCAAAAUUAAUAGAGCCUAAAGACCAAGGUAUAGUAAAACUCCCUGGAUGCUUUGUAAGCUUGACUACUGAUGUCUCUUCUAUCUUCCUUUUCUUUGUAAGGAUCUCCUUCAAGAAUUUUGCAUAAGUUGGCAUUUGUGAGAGCACUUCUGUGAAUGGCAAAUUUAAAUUAACCUGUUUCAGCAUAUCCAGAAAUAUCUCAAAUUAUUUGUCCACCUUUUCUCUAUACAGCUUUUGGGGAAAAGGUAAAGCAGGCAUGUGCUUGCUCUCUUCAUUAGAUUCCUCCCUUCUUGAAGUUUCCUCCUUCUUCUUUUUCUCAGCUCCCUUCUUGCCUUUCUUCUUCUUAUCAACUUCAUUUUUCAGCUGCUCCCCAAUUUCUUUUUCAGGUACCACCUCUUUUUGGAUUGGAGUGGGAUCUUUCAAAUCAACCCGGAAUGACGUCAAAUUUUGCAUGCAAGUUUCAAAUGACAUAACGGAGCUAAUCCAACUCUCGGAAUUGCAUUCUGACCCCGAUACCACCAAAUUAAACUCUCAGUCAAACCUCUCAGCUUUUCAAUUUUUGCCGACAUGCUUCAAAUUACCCUACAGACCUCCAAAUCCAAAUCCGGGCGCACACCUAAGUCCAAAAUUACCAUACGAAGCUAUUAGAAUCAUCAAAAUGCCAUUUGGGAGUCAUCUACACAAAAGUCAAAACUCUGAUCAACUCUUACCACUUAAGCUUCUAAAACAGGAAUCCUUCUUUCAAAUUGAUCCCGAAUCAUCCGAAAACUGAACUCAACCAUACUCGCAAGUCAUAAUUCAUAAUACGAAGUUGCUCGAGACCUUACGCCGCCGAACAGGGCAUUAAUUCUCAAAAUGACCGAUCGGGUCGUUACAUUCUCCCCUUCUUAGACAAACGUUCAUCCUCGAACAUGCCAAGGACCAUUUUGAAGUCAUCAAAUCAUUGAGUGAACUACCAUACAUACACACGUGGGUGAUCCCACGUCACCCCAAUCCACAUAGGCAUGAUGACACCAUCCCAACUGAAAAUUAUUCCUUCCACCCACACUGAUAACCUUAGAACCAAAUUUCUCACCAUCCAAUCAUUUCCAAAAGACCUGAUUCCUACAUCAACACACGGUAUCAGCCUCAUCCAUCUGCAACAACCUAUGCCUACACCCACAAGGUACAACCACACGACAUAACACAUCGCACAUAUGCCCAUAACCAUAUCUCUGAUCACGAUAGAUGUCCAUAAUUAAACCCAGUACCGGUAAUUAACCUUAUAUCCGCUAGAACCCCGUUCCAAAACUCCACAACACCGACAACGAAGCAAGAAACACGAAGAUGCCAUGACUAUUCACUCAAAUCAACAAGUCAAAUCUAACGCCACCUGGGCACACAUCUCGCAAACUAAAACCCAAUAAGCACAACACGAAUAUGACUCUGGAUAUAUAAAGAAACACAUGAAAGAACUAUCAAAAAAGCUCAGCAGGCACCACUCCCUAUUAAUACCAUACUAUGAAUCAAUUUCACAAGGGAGAAUCAAAACACAUGAACUAAUCACAUAGAUCUCAUCCUGAUUUAACUUCCACCGUGGCAUGUAGCCCGGUUCAACAUAUCAACCAUAUGAAAACGCGAGUAUUCCAUCCUCAGCUCUGAAUCACAGGUAGUUUACACAUCAUACCAAUCGAAACCUUCCUCUAAUUCUAUUUCGCCGACAAAAUCACAACACAUACUGAACUCCCAUACCAGUAGAGCAUCUAAACUGCAAAUCGUAACCAACCAUCCUAAAAUCACAUCAAAACUACCGAAAUGAGUAACAGAAAGCCACUUUUAGUCUCAUAACUCUCAAUAAUGAAUCAAAACAAAAUGAUAGACACGGGCUACCACUAUAGGAUCUACCAACAUGGGUAAACACAUAAGCAGAGUACCAAAUCACUAAACUCACCCGUAUAUGAAGUAAAAUAGGAGGACUCACCCCGAUAAGCAGAACCGAAACUAAAUACGAAUCUUGCUCCUCUAUAACAAAUCAAAACCAUACCUGUACAACAUCAUCUGGUGCAGCGGCCUCAGCCCUACUGUAGAAAGUAUAUCAACGAGUCCGGACUCUCCUUCUUGGGAGCCCUCUACUCGCCUGACUUGUACCCCAAGCUGGCGGUGCAGGGAUAUCAGCAACUGGAGUAGAACUCAUAGCCUAAAUACCCCGCUGUGACACGUCUGUCUGGAGUUUGGGACAAUCUCUCACCAUGUGGCCGGUAUCUCCACACUCAAAGUAACCUCUCUGCUGACAUGGUUGUGGAAGCUGUCCGGCACGGGUACCCUGAGACACAUGGGCACCUAGAACACCGUACGAAGCUUGAAGUGCAAAUUGAACUGGCUGACCCACAAAAUCUCUACCAUGACGUACCAUGACUCCAAAAUAAGGACCAGUAGGUCUUCCCGGCCUACGAGGCCUCUUAGUCUCCCUGCCCUCUCUCUCUCUCCUGACCUCGUAUGCCCUCUAAUCGACGAACGAUCUCUACUACCUGCUGAAAUAGAACAUCCGACUCCAACUCCCGAGCCAUACUGAACAGGAUAUCAUGAUUGAGCCCCUCAAUGAACCUGCAGACUCGCUCUCUGACCGUAGAAACUAUAACAGGUGCAUGUCUGGAAAAAUCACUAAAUCUAAUGGCAUACUCUGACACCGACAUAGUGCCUUGGUUCAGCUGCUCAAACUCCGCGCGCCACGCUUUUCAAAAUAUUUGGGGAAAUAACUCUCUCAAGAACACCUCUGAAAACUAAGUCCAUGAAAGUGAAGCUGCAUCGGCCGGACUACCCAACUCAUAUGCUCUCCACCACUGGUAUGUCGCUCCCUUAAGCUGGAACAUAGUAAAAGCAACCCCACUCGUCUCCACAAUACCCAUAGUGCGGAGAAUAUAGUAGCACUCCCCUAGGAACCCAUGCGCAUCCUCUUAAGCCAAAUCACUGAAAGUAAGAGGGUAAUACUUCCUAAACCUCGCAAUUCUAAGUUGUUCUUCCUCAGAUGCUGCUGCCACACCCACUGGCGGAACUAGAAUAACAGGUUGUGUAAGCAUGAUACCUGGAACCUGACCAAUGUGGACUCGUUGCUCCAUAUUACGGGCGGCGGGAUUCUGAGCUCCUCCACCGGUCUGUGAAGUAGCUGGUGCAACCGUAAUCAAGCCCGCCUGAACCAAUGUACCAAACAUGCUCAGGAACUAUGCUAAAGUCUCCUGAAGUCCUGGGUAACAACAGGCGCCUCGGUACCUGUCCCCCAUCAGGAGCUACUAGCGGCUCCUCAACUACUGUUCUGAUAGGUGCUCUAAUCAUAGCACGUGCUCCCCCUAGGCCUCUGCCUCUGCCCUGACCCUUAGCAAUAUCGGCUCUGGGGGCAGCGUCAUCGGUAACUGCAGCUCAUGUUCUCAAUAUUUGUGAGAGAAUAGAAUGACAAAGGUUCAAACUCAAAGAUCAAUAAACUCGCACGAUAGGAAUGAAAGAAGUGAAAAUUUACUAAUAGUUUUGUAGCCUCUUGAAAUAAGUACAGACGUCUCUGUACCGAUUCGCAAGACUCUACUAAACUCGCUUAUGACUCGCAAUACCUAUGAACCUAAAGCUCUGAUACCAGCUUGUCAUGACCCCAAUUUUCCUUUGUAGGAUGUCGUGAUGGCACCUAAUAUCUACGACUGGGUAACCCUAACACUUACUGAAUAAAUUGACAGAAAUUAACCAAUAGAACUAUUAAGCAGAAAUCAGAUAUUUCUUAAUGAACUCAACAUUUACAACAUGAAAUAACAUCCCAAAACCGGUAGUACAAGUCAUAAGUUCUACUGAGUUUACUAGAAAAAUCCCUAAAUACAACUGUUCGGAAUAGAAUUAAACAGUACAAGUACAAUAUCAUAAGGUAACUCUGAGACCUGCAAACGCGGCGACAGGUUUACCUUGAGUCUCUGCAGCAAUGCUCGACCAUCUAGAUAAUAAUCAACAAUAUCCGAGGCACCUAGGUCUACACAACAAUGUGCAGAAGCGUAAUAUGAGUACACCACAGCGCUACCUAGUAAGUAUCAAGACUAACCUCGGUGGAGUAGUGACGAGGAACAGUCAAGACACCCAUUGGACUAAACAACCUAAACAAGUAUAAAUAUAGAACUAACUGGGAACGAUAUCAAUAUAAAGCUAGGCAUGAUGACAAUAAUAAUACAAUGUUGGUAAUAGGGACUAAGGCCUCAUUUGUUUUUUUAAGAUUAAGACGUCCGAAUCUGAAUACGCGUCUGAAUAUCAAGAUGUGUAUUAAGAUUAAGACAUCUGAAUCUGAAUACACAUCUGAAUGUUAAGAUGUGUAUUAAGAUAUAAAUACUAAAUGAUUAAGACUAUUUGAUUUUUAACAUCUGAAUGUAUAAAAUUUAUGUUUAUUUGAAAAUUAAUAAACAUAAAAUUCAAAUAAAAUACUAAUUAAUCUAAUAUUUCGUCACUAAAAUAUAUAACUUUUUAAAAUAUGAUAGUUGUUGGUGGUGAUGGCUAACGGUAGUGCUUGUGAAUGCCGACUAAAAGUGGUGGUAGAUUUGGUUAAUGGUGGUAGUUUAGGGUAGUAGCUAGUGGUGAUUAGUAGUGGUAGCUAUUAUGAUUGAGGAUGGUGGUGGUGGGUGAUGAUAGUUAAUAAUGGCAGGUGGUGAUGAUGGUAGUUGUGAUUGAGGAAGAUGGUAGUGGGUGGUGGUAGUUUAUAAUAAUGGGCAGUACCGGCUAUGGUUGUUGAUGGUGAUGGGGUGGUUAGUUGUGGUAGUUGAGGUAGAUGACUGUUGGUUGUCCUUGAGAAUGAUAGUGGUGGGAGUGGUGGGGAUGGUGGGUGGUUGUAGUCGACAAUUGUGGCGGCUAUGAUUGAGGAUGAUGGUGGUAGUAGUGGUUGAGUAUGGUGGUGGUGGGUGGCAUGAUGGUACUUGAUAACGGUAGGCGGUGGCGGCAGUUAAUAAUGAAUAUAGAUAAUAUCAUCUUAAUUAAAUUAAGUCUAUGUUAUAGAUCUUAAUGAUACAGACCAAUUCAGACCCAUUAAGUGGUUGUGAAGUAAAACAAACAAACACACUUAACGAUUAAGAUCUGAAUAACUAAGAUUCAGACUUUAAAAACAAACGCACUUAAUGCCUGAGAUCUGAAUGAUUAAGAUUCAGACCUCCAUUAAGUGCAAACAAAUGAGGCCUAAAAGCAACAGUUAGCAACGAGACACAACAGGUAAUAACACUGUAGAGUAAGCUCAACACAGUUUAAAUACGGUGAAGCCAAAUAAAUGAAGACAAGUGACAACUCAGUAGGAACAACCGCUUUCACACUAGGUUUAUCCAAGAACUUCCACGAGGUACCAAACCUCAAAAUCACAAAUCACGGGUCCCAAUUCGUGAACCCUAAUCACUUGGCAUCUUGUGCCCACAUUACAAUUCAUAACAGCAUUGCCCAAGGAGUGACGGUAUCUAAUAUCUGCAUGGACCACUCAUGUGCCAACAAUAAUAAUGACUCAUGACUGCACGGACAACUUACGUGCCAACAAGAUAACUCUCACACAUAAGGCAAGUACACGGGGGCACAUGUAAAUGGUCAAAACAUCAAGAUUCAUCUUCUGAGACCAAUAUGGGCGAUUUAUCUACGUGUAUGCUUGUGCAAGUGUUCUACCCCAAUUCAGGUCAACAAGUAAGAUAGAGACAAUGAAUGGCACAUAAGAAACGAUCACCACAAAAUGUACAGUAUAAUAAAGACAGCAAUGAAAUUGAAACAAUGAUUAGCACAACAAGAUUAGCUACAUAGAAUUAAGCAAAUAGUGCAACACGGAGAAAGACAAUUAGUGGUAUGCUAAGGAAACAAGAAGCAAAGACAAGUAUAAAAUAAUGGGGAAAUGUCAACAAGAUUCACUACCGAGGUACCGCCACAUAGUCUCAAAUCAUAAAAUGAAUCACAAUCUUUUCUUAUAUCACCGCGAGAGCCUUUAAAUUUAGUUUUAAAAAUUAUUUUUUCCGAAAUAGCAUCCUGCGUUUUAGCCCACCUUAUCACACCGUAUGGCUUCUAGUAGUUCCCAUACAAGCCAUGCGUAUCAAGCCCACCUUAUCUCACCGUAUGUGUUUCAACACCCAUACCUUAUACCACUACAUGCAUAUCAAUAAUAAUAACAGCACGACAGAAACCUCGUGCAAACACCAUAACAACAGCACGAGAGAAACCUCGUGCAAACACCAUAACAACAGCACGGCAAAAACCUCAUGCAAUCACCGAAUAAUCCUCUCAACAAUAACACGUGUACCAAAACAUAACAACUCAACAAAAUGACUUUCACAAUAUGUGCCCAAAUUUCACAACAUUUCCUCAAAAUAGUUUCAACAUCACAACCACGCAUAGCCCUCAGCUCAACAACACUGAAUACAACAACAACAACAACAACAACAACAACAACAACAACAACAACAACAACAACAACAACAACAACAACAAUAACACGAGGAUACAACAAGUAAAUCAGCUCAGGAACUUCAGAACAUAAGGAAAUGGCAGAACGAGCUCACAAAGAAAGACACAAUAGGGAAUAAUGGUGGAGGUCCCUAGCUGCAAUAAAAAAACAGCGCUAACGAGCAAGAAAGACGAAGGAAUUGCAGCCUAACCAUCUAUGAGAUCGGAGACUUCGAGAGGCUUCCCAGUCCUCUUUCAGCUUUUUCUUACUUUUUUGAGCUCUCAGCUGCUUCGGCGGUGCUUUUUCGCCUUCUCUUCGCUCUGGACAGGAGUGUGCUUCCCUCUCGCUUGACUCACUUUGAUUCUGCACUUGCCAAGUAAGAACUUUUUUCUUAAGUAGCGGUCAUGUCUUCCCCCUCCCCCCCAAUAUAGUGACCACAUUUUCUGUUGAGGUCUAUCCUGCAGAGUUACUCAAAUUAUUCUUUCCACUGCUUGAAGUGAUUGUUACGAUCACGAAGAAACGACAAAUCCCAACUACAAAUAUAUAGAUCGUAGUAGUUCGCCAAACUCGUAGAAUGUAUGAAGUCGCCCCGAGAAUAGAAGCGAGUCGCUUCCAGCCUGUCUUGUAGUCGUAGUCUUUUAGCUUAUGUAGUCGUCGGCUUUCCUACAUGCAUGCCUCCGCCAGAAUGCCUCUUUGGUUUGGGACAAAGCCAAGCCGAUACAUAUGAUAUGCGAAGGAAAGACCCCCAUUUCAUAGCUCCUGGGGAACGCAAGUUUGAUCGAGGAUUGGAGAGGAGAGGUGGAAGAAAGAGCUCAGGAUGGAUUUAGGAGUCUUUGUACGAGCCGUAUGCGGUGUGAGAAAAAGCACCUUUCGUGAUUCAAGUAGUAAAAUCAGAUACAUGAUUGAGAAAGGAAUCUUCCAAGCGCAGAUUUAGCUGAAUCUAUUAUAAGGUAUGCAUUUUUUCUAUUUAGAGAGGGGGGGGGGGGUUUCAAGUUCUGAGGAAGAGCCGUACGAGACAGAUCACGUACGGUUCGGGAGCCGAGACCCUGCGCAGGGGUUUAGGUCAACACUUAUAUAAUAGCCAGUCAUCAAUUGGAAGCGGGCAAGAUGGUGAUAAAUUGUGACUGGUCUAAACCUUCGACUAGCGACUUAUUGCGACCUUCCCAGAAUGCUCAUACAGACUAAGACCUUAUUCACACAGCGAGGAAAGGCCGAGUGGAAGGGGACAGUCAGUUGGCUGCUUUUUUGCCAUGCGUUUUGCUUCGCUUUGUUUUAUAGAAGAAAGAGAUCAAAUGAGAGUUAAAGGCAAGGGCAAGCGAUAGAAAGGGGAGUCCCUCGCGAAAUACUACUACUAGAAAAUAGUGAGACCAUUAGUGAAAGAAGGACCAAGGAGGAUCCUAUCCUAAAGGAUAAGGAGGAGUCGGAGGAGUCAGUUUUCUUUGAAGAUCGAGGAACGUAGUGUCGGACAAUUAUGUCAUUCGGAAGAAGUCUUCUACAGAAGAAAAUCCUGUUACGAGUAAGUGGAGAGGAAAGAUCUCCAAGGAUUCUUAUCUGAUUCCAUUCCAGUGGCUCAACCAGUAACCAAUGGCGAAAACUCAAAAAUACAUGGUUUCCCGGUAGAACCCUAUUUCGCCCAAGUUGUUUGAGAACCGGAAAAAAGAAGUUAGAAAGAUGUUAUUUGCUGCUAUUCUAUCUAUUUGUGCAUCAAGUUCGAAGAAGAUCUUAUCCUAUACAGAGGCCUAUAUACAAAAAAAAGUACUUUGCCUAGAAUCCCAAGUUGCCUCCCCUCUUCUCUGAGGCCGAUCGCAUUCACUCAAACUUCCAAAACAAGCAGAAACACACGUUGUCGGUUCAGCAGCUCGAAGUUCAUCUCAAUAAAAUGUCAGGUCAACCGAAGUCUACAACUCGAAAUAUGAUAAAAAUGGUGAACCGAAGUCACAUUUGACACCUGCGAUUUGCCUCUGUUCCCUCAAACACAAGAAAAAUAACAGUCUUUCCAGACACGAAAAUGGACAUAACUCUCUCAUACGACCUCGGAAUACGACGAUUCUUGCUGCUAUGGUUCUGUAAUUACGAUACAGAUCUGAUGGUUCAAUCGAAUCACAAAUCAAAGGUCGUUUCCAUAGUAUGAUACCCUUUAUGCCAAAAGAAACGACACUGAAACAUCAAAUAAGAGCGCGGCACAAUCCAAACCCAUCCGAAACCCACUCGAGCCCCAUGGGACCCCAACCAAGUAUACUAACAAGUCCCAAAAUAUGAUACGAACUUGUUCGAAGCUUCAAAUUGCCUCUAACAACAAUAGAAUCAUGAAUCGCGCAUCGAUUCAAGCGUAAGAAACUUAUGAACUUCUAAAUUCCAAAACUCAUUUAUAUGAAACCAACUCCGAUUUACUUCAAAUUUUGCACAUAAGUCAUAAAUAAAAGUACGGACCUAUUCCAACUUUCGAAUCGGGAUCUGACCCCGACAUCAAUAAAGUCAACUCCCGGUCAAACUUUUCAAAAUCUUCCAUUUUUUCAACUUUUGCCAAUUCAUGCCGAAAUGACCUACAGAUCUCCAAAUCAAUAUCCGGACAUGUUUCUAAGACCAAAAUUACCAUACGGAGCUAUUGGAACCAUCAAAACUCUAUUUCGGAGUUAACUAUACAAAAGUCAAACUCCGAUCAACCCUUACCGCUUAAGCUUCUAAAACAAGAAUUCUUCUUCCAAAUCAAUCCCGAAUCAUCCAAAAUUCAAACUCGACCACGCACGCACGUCAUAACACAUAAUACGAAACUGCUCGAGACCUUAAACCAUCAAACGGAACGUAAAUUCUCAAAACGACCAGUCGAGUCAUUAUAGAAAGUUAUAAUGAACACUAACUACACCAAAAGGAUUGAUGGUCUAUCUGGAAAAAGCUAUCGAUUGUUAAAAAAAGAGACCUUUCUGUACAAUGCUCCCUAUCUUAGUUCCUUUAGGAUAACAUAACCUUUUCAAAAAACAUUAAGAAGCUCCUAGCAGAUAUCAAAUACACCAUAAGAAUUUUAGGUCCAUCAUAAAUGAUUUUAGCAUUAAGAGAAAAUACAACAAGAUCAGACCUCUUUAAUUUAUAAGCAUAACCCUGAGGAAAUCUGGCAUGAAGGAGAAAAGAGUAGAUUUCUGAGAUUUCUAAUCCUGAUUUAUGUUAUCACAUCAUGAAAAAUGGUGGAUCAUAAGAGGAAACUUGUAACCCAAGAUCAUCUGUUAACUGCAAUGUCGUUAUCUAGAUUUUGACAACAAAUUGAUGCCUCAAUAAUAGACAGAAUAUAUGGAUUAUCGUUGAUUGUACUGUGGCAAUAACAAGAACAAAUUCUCAAAUUACACCUUUUCUUUUUUUGUCGAGGGGCCAAUCACUUUCUAUAAAGCAAAUUUCUAAUAAAAUAAAGUAAAUUUUCCUUUCAUAAAUAGAAGUAAGGAUCAUGUAUAUAGUAAAUCGAUCAUAUUAGAUCAUGACAACACCUCACUUUGGAUCACUGAAAGCAUGUGAAGCAUAAAAAAAAUCCUUUAACCAUAUAUGUACACAUGCAAAAAUUCGAUAGCAUCAUCAAAAAUCCAUUCUAAAAGGGACUCUAGAAGAAAAUCAAAGAGCUACAUACAACAUAUGAAAGAAUAACAAGCAAUCAACAAGCUAAUGAUGAACAGUUAAGUGUCAGGAAAGUAUAAAACUACAUGUACUUCUAUAAGAGAAUGAUAAAACAGACCAACUCUGAAAGGUUAUAAAAUUAUGACAUUCAAUUCAAUUUAAAAGGAACUAUAACUAAUCAUAUGGUGUUUGUUUAUUGGUGGAUUGAUAACCAAUGAGGCCUCGGAGGCAAAAAUAUUUGGUGACUCUUCCAAUUUGUCCAAGCUUUGACGGGCAGAGUUUAACCGUACUGUACUGGUGGUAAUUCCUGACCCGGACACUACGGUUAUAAGAAAAAUUCUAAUCAUAUGAAGCAUGCAACCAAAAUAUGAUCCUUUUCCAUUGUUGUCAUCUACAACCAGACAAGUAGAAGAACAUGAACAAAACAUUGAAGAUUCUUAUGUUCUUCGAGAUUAAGCAGAUAAACAGAGAACUUAGUUUAAUGUCUCUCUGAAAAAUGAACAAUCAAAUUACCUUUAUGUUGACCAGAAAACUAGCACAACUUGGAGCGCACCGCCGAGAAAUGAAGGUGGCUAGGGUUUUGGAGUGGCGGCAACUCCGCAAGCAGAGACAGAAUGGAGGCGGAGGACUCAUAGGAAGAAAAAUAUCAAUGGACAAUAGAAAAUGCAUAAAAGGAUCGGCAAUGACAUAUAGGCGCACACUAAAUCCCACUAAAGAUAAUUUUCGGUUCUCCACAUGCCACUCCACGUUUCUUAUUGUGCAUUCAUG